ensembl:snRNA U6 U6 spliceosomal RNA
CUUCUAACUUCCGCAGCACAUAUACUAAAAUUGAAACAAUACAGAGAAGAUUAGCAUGAUCCCUGAGCAAGGAUGAUGUGCAAAUUCGUGAAGUGUUCCAUGUUUUU